rnacentral:rRNA from 1 species
UACGGAGGGGGCUAGCGUUGUUCGGAAAUACUGGGCGUAAAGCGCACGUAGGCGGCUCAGCAAGUCAGGGGUGAAAUCCCGGGGCUCAACCCCGGAACUGCCCUUGAAACUGCUAGGCUAGAAUCUUGGAGAGGCCAGUGGAAUUCCGAGUGUAGAGGUGAAAUUCGUAGAUAUUCGGAAGAACACCAGUGGCGAAGGCGACUGACUGGACAAGUAUUGACGCUGAGGUGCGAAAGCGUGGGGAGCAAAC